rnacentral:rRNA from 1 species
UACGUAGGCAGCGAGCGUUGUUCGGAGUUACUGGGCGUAAAGGGUGCGUAGGCGGUUGUUUAAGUUUGGUGUGAAAUCUCCCGGCUCAACUGGGAGGGUGCGCCGAAUACUGAAUGACUAGAGUGCGGGAGAGGAGAGUGGAAUUCCAGGUGUAGCGGUGAAAUGCGUAGAUAUCUGGAGGAAUACCGGUGGCGAAGGCGGCAUCCUGGACCGACAUUGACGCUGAUGAGCGAAAGCUAGGGGAGCAAACGGG